UCAAAGAUUAAGCCAUGCAUGUCUCAGUAUAAGCAUCUUUGUACGUGUGAAACUGCGAAUGGCUCAUUAAAUCAGUUAUAAUUUAUUUGAUAGUGAUUUACUACAUGGAUAGCCGUAGUAAUUCUAGAGCUAAUACAUGCAUAAAGACCCGACUCGUGAGGGAAGGGUUGUAUUUAUUAGAUCGAAAACCAACACAGGGGAUGUGGGGGUUGAGGUGCAGUGAUGCAUUUCUUCUCUUCUCCCCGAAAUUUUUGGUGAGUCAUGAUAAAUGUCGAAUCGAAGUUAUUUUCGAUGUGUCAUUCAAAUUUCUGCCCUAUCAACUUGCUGGUAGGAUAGGGGCCUACCAAGGUUUUGACGGGUAACGGAGAAUUAGGGUUCGAUUCCGGAGAGGGAGCCUGAGAAAUGGCUACUACUUCUAAGGAAGGCAGCAGGCGCGCAAAUUACCCAAUCCCAAUCAUUUUGGGGAGGUAGUGACAAAAAAUACCGAUGCUUGGGGUCUUUGACCUCGGCAAUUGGAAUGGUUUGGAAGCAAAUCCUCCAUAGAGCAGCCAUUAGAGGGCAAGUCUGGUGCCAGCAGCCGCGGUAAUUCCAGCUCUAAUAGUGUAUACUAAAAUUGCUGCAGUUAAAAAGCUCGUAGUUGGAUUUUGGAUGGAUCAGAAUACUUUUAUGUGCUGUUUAUAUUCGUUAUAUGCUGCUCUGUUACUAAUGACGGUGUGUGACAUAUUUACAGUCGUAAGGGUUGAUUCGUCCGGUAUUUUUUCGAAAUUGCCUUAUCCCCUUAAUUGGGUGGUGAGGCAAGUUCGGAGGAUUUACUUUGAAGAAAUUGUAGUGUUUAAAGCAGGCGUUUCGCAGCUGAACACAUUAGCAUGGAAUAAUAAAAUAGGACAUCUGAGCGAAGUACCUACUUGAUUACCGCUCAUGACCUUUUUUUCAGGUUGGUACCCUCCUUUAAACGGGAGGUCUUUUGUAUUUCAACCUGAGGGUGGUGAGUAUGGGGUCAGGGGAUUUUUUUUGGGCUUUGCUAUCUUUUAGUAUAUCUAUUUUGUUGGUUUUUGGAGAAGGUGUAAUGAUUAAUAGGGACAGUUGGGGGCAUCCGUAUUGCAUUGUCAGAGGUGAAAUUCUUGGAUUUAUGCAAGACGAACUAGUGCGAAAGCAUUUGCCAAGGAUGUUUUCAUUAAUCAAGAACGAAAGUUAGGGGAUCGAAGGCGAUCAGAAACCGCCGUAGUCUUAACUAUAAACUAUACCAACUAGGGAUUGGAGAGUGUCUUUUGAUGGCCUCGUCAGCACCUUUAGAGAAAUCAAAGUCUCUGGGUUCUGGGGGGAGUAUGGUCGCAAGGCUGAAACUUAAAGAAAUUGACGGAAGGGCACCACCAGGUGUGGAGCCUGCGGCUUAAUUCGACUCAACACGGGGAAACUCACCAGGUCCAGACACGGGAAGGAUUGACAGAUUGAUAGCUCUUUCUUGAUUCUGUGGGUGGUGGUGCAUGGUCGUUCUUAGUUGGUGGAGUGAUUUGUCUGGUUAAUUCCGAUAACGAACGAGACCUUAACCUGCUAAAUAGCUCAGUCUCAAAAGUCUCUUUUGAGGCAUUAUUAAUAGGAGCUUCUUAGAGGGACUACUAUGGUUGCACAUAGUGGAAGCUUGAGGCAAUAACAGGUCUGUGAUGCCCUUAGAUGUCCUGGGCCGCACGCGCGCUACAAUGAUGCAUUCAACAAGCUUGUGCUUGUCCGAAAGGAUUGGCUAAUCUUUUAAAACUGCAUCGUGCCUGGGGAUUGAUCUUUGUAAUUUUGGAUCAUGAACUAGGAAUACCUAGUAAGUGCAACUCAUCAGGUUGCGCUGAUUACGUCCCUGCCCUUUGUACACACCGCCCGUCGCUCCUACCGAUUGAAUGAUCAGAUGAAAUGCUCGGAUUUAUGACUUGUUGGCUUCUUCGGGGGUUGCGAGUUGUGAAAAAGAGUAGUAAAUCUUAUUAUUUAGA
rnacentral:rRNA from 1 species